AGUGAACGCUGGCGGUAGGCCUAACACAUGCAAGUCGAACGGCAGCACAGUAAGAGCUUGCUCUUACGGGUGGCGAGUGGCGGACGGGUGAGGAAUACAUCGGAAUCUACUUUUUCGGGGGGGAUAACGUAGGGAAACUUACGCUAAUACCGCAUACGACCUACGGGUGAAAGUAGGGAAUCUUCGGACCUUGCGCGAUUGAAUGAGCCGAUGUCGGAUUAGCUAGUUGGCGGGGUAAAGGCCCACCAAGGCGACGAUCCGUAGCUGGUCUGAGAGGAAGAUCGGCCACACUGGAACUGAGACACGGUCCAGACUCCUACGGGAGGCAGCAGUGGGGAAUAUUGAACAAUGGGCGCAAGCCUGAUCCAGCCACACCGCGUGGGUGAAGAAGGCCUUCGGGUUGUAAAGCCCUUUUGUUGGGAAAGAAAAGCAGCAGGUUAAUACCCCGCUGUUCUGACGGUACCCAAAGAAUAAGCACCGGCUAACUUCGUG
rnacentral:rRNA from 1 species